UACGUAGGGGGCAAGCGUUGUCCGGAUUUAUUGGGCGUAAAGAGCGUGUAGGCGGCCAAGCAGGUCAGCUGUGAAAACUCGAGGCUCAACCUCGAGACGUCGGUUGAAACCGCUUGGCUAGAGUCCGGAAGAGGAGAGUGGAAUUCCCGGGUGUAGCGGUGAAAUGCGCAGAUAUCGGGAAGAACACCCGUGGCGAAGGCGGCUCUCUGGGACGGUACUGACGCUGAGACGCGAAAGCGUGGGGAGCGAACGAGG
rnacentral:rRNA from 1 species